AGGGAUUUCAUUAAUUUGCUUUGAGUAAAAUCAUAUUGUUCGCUUCUACUGCUUUAGAGACGAAUCACAUCGUCUACCAAAGUCGGGAAGUUGCGACAUCGGAAAAAAAAGCUCAACUGUGGACGCAUCUUCAGGAUCAAACUGGUAUAGGACUGAAUGCUGGAGAUCGGACUGCAAGGGACAAAAAUGCCCGUCACCUUGCCGGUGCCCUGGAGUCUUUCAACGCCUGUUUGGAAAAUACACUUGUUAUUGACGGUGAAGUAAACUGUAAAUUUUAAGCAG